UGUGAUAUUUGUUUUUCUGUGCCUGGCUUGUUUUACUUAACAUGAUGACCUCCAGUUUCAGGUGCAUUCUUUAACACAGCAGCAGAGAAGUGUGAGCAUCUUUGGUAUCCUAUUAAUGAAGGUUCUACCCUGACUGAUUAUCUAGGGAAAGCAAUUGAAUGACACAAGGAGCAUAGAGUUUUGGACAUAAUUUUCUACAAUCCCUUGUAAAAUGAAAACAUUUAUUUCCAAAAUAGUUAGAAAAGAUUUAUUUUCCCAAAAAGAGGGCUAUAAAAUUCUCUUUAUCAUCCUUGACAUUUAUUAAGAUAUCUAAAACUAUUCCUAAUGAUGUAGGAAGUCAUCUGUGUCCCCUGUUCAUUUUUGAGGUGUGUCACAUAUGGGAUAUAGUAAUUAUUCCUGACAUUGGAGCCUGGCCCUUGAUGUUUCAGAAAACAUAAAACCAAAUCAGCAUAAAAAACCACUUCCAAGGCAUACCAAAUUAAGCUGAUGUUCAGUUUUCAAUUAUUCAUCAUCCCCAGGGCAGGAGGAAUAGAUGCCAGAAUCAAAACAAUGGAAACAAGCAGUCUGCAUUUGGACUCUGUGGUAUAGAGCUGUGUACAUGGAAUAGAGACAAGAAGAAUGUGACAGAAGGAAUAUGCAGUUCCAGCACGACUGCUGCUGCCUUUGAACCCUACCAGGCAACAGCAGCCUCAAUUAGUGGAGUCACAGUUCUCAUAAUCUAUGCAUAUGCACAGCAAGCAGGGGACAAGUAUGAAAACAAAGUGAGGAAAGGAAGGAGAUACAAGUGAACAAAUUUCUAAAUACUUGGAAUCUGCCUAAGUAUCAUCGAAAGAGUAGGGACAUAACAUCAUGGGAAGCUUACUAUGGACCGAGCAGAAUCUAAAAGUCUAAGUACUUCCCUCUGUACCCUGAUUCCAUUGUCUUUACCUAAAAGUGAGAAACUAAGAUAUAUAUAUAUAUCUUAUGUAUCUCAUAUAUAUCUUAUAUAUAUAGUCACAUUUCUCACAUCCACAUUAUCUGCUGUUUAGUCCUAAAUCAGGAAAAAAGUGGUUUCCAGUUAAUAGUGGGGCAGUGAACAUGAAGAUGAGCUUAGGUGGAGCACCAGCGGGUGACAGUACCUCACAGUGCCUACUGUUAUUUUGUAGGGCAACAUAGAAAAUAACAUAAUUAACUCUAUGAGGCAUCCCUCAUAGAGUUAAUUAACACUGCAAGCUCGACUGCCUCAUAGCAGUAAUAAAUGAACUUGUUAAUGAUAAGGCUGACCCACAAGGCCUUUCCACUGAGAAAUUAAAGGGUGGUACUUUUUGUUUUGUCCUAAACAUUGAAAUUUGAUCAACAAUUUUAUUUCUGUAGAAUUUUGUAACGAUUGAUGGGCUGAAGUUUGAAAUUCAGAAGAGAAAGGAUUUAGAAAGAUCUUGGAAAAGGCACUCUGUGUUUUACCAACAUACAGUGAGCCUAAUUCUACUGCUUGCAAUAUGCAGUGGAGUCAACACUUCACUUGAUAGAAUGCUACUGAAACAAUAGGUGACUUAGUGUGGAAGCGUAAAAGGUCAUACAGAAAAACAAGCAUUUUAUGGAGUGGACCUUUAAAGGCACUGCAGUUACUACAAAGAAGGCAUUAUGAACUGAUUCCAGCUCUAAAGUAAUUUAGAAGCUUCUUGGUGAAGUAAUAUAAACAAAUAAAAUAUUUAAAUCACAUUUCAAGACCGUGAAGUUCCACAAGCAGAUUAUUGAUUGCUGAAUAUAUCCUUCAGACACUAACUAAGGAAAUGCUCACCUCAGCUGGGGACAGAAACGAUGUAUGGGAGAGGUACAAUUAAAGUUGGUACUGAACUUUGGGAGGGCUUUGCAUAGUUAAUCAGGAGGCAGGAGGUCAUGGGCAGAAGGAAGCAUGAGGAAAAACAAACAGGUGUGUAAAUGCUAGGCCAGAAGUCCCCUCCUCUGUGAAGGCUUCCACAAGCCAUUCUCACUUCUGGUCCAUCUAUGUCUUUUGCACAUUCACAUUUUGUUGUAUGUAUCACGUUGCAAUGUAAUUACUGAUUAGACAGUUGUUUCCCCCUACUGCACUGAGUGUUCCCUGAAAACAGGAAUUCUGAUCUACCUUUGUAUUUCUGGUCCCUGGCACACUGAAGACACAUUUAAUAACUUAACCUUGAAAUGAGCCAACAGAACUCUGUGGGAAAAUAGGAGUAAGUAUGGAAUAGUAAAUUGGAAUGGGUUUGAGAAAGACUUUAAAAACAGAAAUAUAAAAAUUUUUGAACUUUUUACUAUAGAUAAUUAAUUUUAUUUUGUUAAAUUGAAAAGUGGCCUUAAAGAUUAUUCAUAAGCAUAUUCUCCCAAGUAUCACCAGCCUUUGAUCAAAAUGUGUACAUUAACAGCUGAUUUUUUAGUAUAUGGUCUCUACCAUCACUUCUUCAGGAACUCAAGAACCACCCCUCAAGGCGAGUUAAUUGUGGAGGUCCCAGGGAGUAAACUGCAUAUGCUUAGCAACAAACUUGUUCAUAUUCUUUUCCUCUAGCCUUUUGUAUAGGUUUGCUGCUCACAAAGUACUGGAGAAAAGCAACUCAAGAGCCUAAAUUCCACAGAUUCCAGCAGGUUCUUGCUUUCCUCUUUCUUAUACAAGGGGCAUACCUGGUGGUUCAUACUCUCUAAGAAAUGAGCACUCUCCAUCUCUCCUGUUCACCCUAGAUUUCUCUCCUUCUACUGUCAUUCCACUUCAGGUAUCCACUCAUGCCUCAAGCAUUAUCUCUCUUUUUUUUCAGCCAACUCCUGCCCUUAAACAAAAUCAUCAUUAUACAGACAUAUUCCUAGUCAGAGAAAUGGGUUGUGGUUCUACAAGUUCCACACACCCAUCUUCCAAUUGGCUUAUUUAAGAGAUUCUGCUAAGAAAGAUUGAUCUGACAGUAGUGUGCAGAUGGAGGAAAGAAAAAUAAGCAUGGAGGCAAGAGGAUUCAUUUGAAAGUUUGUAAUGUAGGAAUAAAAUGAUCAUUAAAGUCUAAUAGGACUGUGGUUGUCAAGUUCAUGUAGGAGAAAAGAUGAAUGGGAAGAGUGUGUGGAGUGGUGAGUGACUGCAAAUAUGAGUGAGAAAGAAGUUGAAUAUACUGUGAGCAAAUAAUAUGGCCGUUCUCAGGAAACAGAGGAGGAAGGAGAGACCGUUAUUUUUACAUUCAAGUGAAUCGGGCUUGGGGUGCUGGUAACAUUUCAGAUGGACAUACCCAGCAGGAAAUUAGAAAACAUUGGAGAGCAUGUAGAACGAGUUGUUUGAGUUGUUUAACAAUGUUAUAGAUUUGUUUUGUUCAGGAACAUCUUGGGUAUUCUUGGGAUACCCGAGAGAGGGUACAAGGAGAGGAGCAGAGGGCAGAAUCACCAAAGUUUCACUGUAUUUCUAAAAGUAACCACAUUUUACUGACUCAAUGUCUUCACAAUGCUUGAUGUUAUUCUGUAAGCAUGACACAGGAUUUUUUUCCCUCCAGGACAAAGGUACCAGUGGAUGAGAAUAGUACCAGAGUAAGCUAUUGAAUGAUCAAAGAUGCCACAUUGAGAAUGACAAUUCUGAUUCCUGCACAAGUGAUUCUCAAUAACUGGGGAGUGAAUACAACUCUGCUGGUAAAGAAAAUCCCAGCAGAAAAGGAAUGUGAUUCUCACAGAAGACAUAAGUGCAAGGUGAAGCAGCAAUUGCUGAUGUAGAGGUUGCAGCAAAUUAUCCGGAAGAGCUGGCUAAGAUAAUUCAUGAAGGUGGCUAUACGAUACAACAGAUUUUCAAAGCAGAUGGAUUCUACUUCUGGUGAAGAUGGGGUGAACAUCGCUGAAAUGGCAACAGAGGAUUCAGAAGAUUACAUCAACUUAGUUGGCAAAGCAGUGGCAGAGUUUGAGAGGACUGACUCCAGUUUUGAAAGCAGGUAAAAUGAUGUCAAAGAGCAUCACAUGGUGCAGAGAAAUAUUUUAUAAAAGAAAGAAUCAAUUGAUGGGAUAAACUUCAUGAUUUCUUAUUUUAAGAAUUUGCCAAAAGCACCUUAACCUUCAGCAACUGCUGCCCCAUCAGCCAGGAGCCAUCAACAUCGAGGAGAUCCCCCCACCAGGAGAAAGAUUAGGUCUCGAUGAAGGCUUGAAUGGUUGUUAGUAUUUUUCAGCUCUAACGUAUUUUUAAAUUAAGGCUUUUACACUGCUGUUUUAAACAUUAUGCCAUUACAUACUUAAUAGACUAUGGCAUAGGGUGAACACAACUUUUAUAUGCAGUGAGAAAUGAAAAAAUUCAUAUCAUGUAUUUUAUUGUGAUAUUCAAUUUAUUGCAGUGGUCUGGAACUAAGCCCCCAAUAUCUCUGAGGUAUGCCUGUAAUUGAGCAUUCCCAUAAACUGUGAUACAGGCUAUGAAGGAAAACUGCAACGUGUCAGGAGACUGUGUAGCAGAGAUAUCUGGUCUAAUGGGGUGAGAUGCUCUGAAAAAAAUUGCUUUAAUUGCUGAGAGCUGGAGAAAGAAUAGUUAAUCAGGAAAGGGAGAGGAUUCUGGAGGAGGAGCCUCUGGCAGCAGGAAUAGAAUGGCAAAGUCCAAUUUGUGGGAAGGAUAGGGGCCCAUUCAAAGAAUGGAAAGGAAAAUAAAAUAGGAACACAGUACAGGAAGGAGUGAGGGGUAUGAGAAGAAACCAGAGAAACAAACGGCUUAAUAUCAAGGUUUUCUCCCUUGGCACUGUUGAUUAACAUUUGGGACUGGAUGAUUCUCUGUUGUGGGGAGCAGCCCUUUGUGCAAUUUUAGCAGUACCUCUGGCCUCUACACACUAGAUGCCAGUCAUAUUCCUUCCCUUCAGUUAUAACAAAUGAAAAUAUUUCCAGAUAUUGCCAAAUGUUCCCUGGUGGGGGUGAGGGUGAAAUCAUCGCCCCCAGGUAAGAGUCACUGUUUUUGAUCAUGUAGAUCUCUUUAGACUAUGUACAGAUCGGGGGCCUUUAUAGGCAGAGCACUAGGAAAGUCCUGAAGGAUUUCAGUAGAAUCCUGUCAGAGAAUGUGACAGAUCUAUGGCACACAGGAUAAGGACAUCUUCUUUCUCCUGUAAAAUAAUCAUUUUACCUCCUCACAUAGCCCCCUCCGGCUAUACCAAGAUAGAAACUUUUACGUGUGAUUCUCAUCACCUACCAAUAAAAUGCAUAUGCUUAGCUAUCAAUUACGUUCAAAGAGUACCCAAACAUUGCUUUUGAGCAUAUUGUUGUGUCAUGAUUGCAAAGUUAUAAUUAUGAAUCCUGCAGGGUUCAUUACCAAUUCAUAUGUUCACUAGCUUAGAACUUUCAGAAAUGUGUUUUGGGGAAUCAAAUGUAUAUUAUGGCUCUAUUUCUGAAAGAAAGAUGUUUGGAGAGCUUUCUGACUAUUUGAUUUUUCUUGCAUUAAUCAAAUGACAACCCUUAUUUAGCUAGAGAUGCUCUUCAACUUCUUUUACCAUUUUAUUCCUAACACUCUUAAAGUGGUUGUAUUUUUUUUUUUUUUUUUUUUUUUUACAUUUGGACUUAGCAUUUGGUAAAAGCAAAUGCAGAACACAUACUCUGGCCAAAGGAAAAUUGGCCUUGAUUCCAGUCUCAGAUAUUUAAAUAAAUCAUCGUUGGUGGAUGUAUUUUUCUUCUGUAGACAGAAGUAGACAUUGAGGUAAGAAUCUUGGCUCAGAUUAUAAGGAAAUACUAAAGAGUUAUGUUUAAAUAUGCAACUUGGCUAGGCACAGUGGCUCAUGCCUGUAAUCCCAGAAUUUUGGGAGACCAAGGUGGAAG